UAUAUUUACCAUCUGCGAUUUUUUAUUUGUCAUGCGAUUUUUUUUUCUGAAAUUUUCAAAUUCAAAUUUCAGUUGGCAGUUCAUAAGCUGGUGAACUCACAACUGAAUUGGUAGGGUUAUAUAGUGGCAGUGCCAUACAAUGGUAAAUAUAUCAUUAUGAUAUACAGAUACAACUGUGGGAAAUGCUGGUCAAUUUCAAACGUGUAUAGAAUUAUCAUGUUCACAGAAGGCCCUGUGGUCAAUUUCAAACGUGUAUAGAAUUAUCAUGUUCACAGAAGGCCCUGUGUAAUCCUGAGGUUGCUUUAACCCUUUCACCCCUACUGACCAUAUUGGACUUCAAAUGAUAAAUGAAUGGCAGAGUCAACUUGAGUUUCAUAGGGUUGAAAGGGUUAAUACAUGUUUAUACAUGAAACCUCUCAAUAAUGGCCAUGUGCAGAUAGUAAAAUUUUCUUACGUCUGACAUAUGUAAAAAAAAAAAACAAAAAAAAAACACGAAGUUGCAGGUAUAUACAUAGGUGUAAACCUGUAUAUACAUAGGUGUAAACCUGUAUAUACAUAGGUGUAAACCUGUACAUACAUAGGUGUAAACCUGUACUAUUUUGUCCUUCACAAAACUAUACCGAUACCCUACUACUCUGAUCAAAUAGCUUAAAUCCUAAUUUUGUUGGAAAACUACUUAAUACUACUACACAAAUAUAGAAAACAAUACUAAUAUAUAGAAGAGACAUUGUGUUCAAUAGUAUUGUACUGUCGACUGGGAUAUGUACCGUAAACUGAAGAGGUUUAAUUAAACAUCAGUGUAUUGAAAGUUUUACAAACUGUCCUCUGUAAACAUUUUACUAGGGCAAAUUUUAGAUGGGUUGAAAAGGUAUUUUUUUCAUCUAAAGGCGAUUUUCCAGUGGCAAACAUUUCCCAGUAUACAGCCAGUCAAAAAUGGCACUACAUUGUUACACCAUACUUUUAUUUAACGUGAAUUUUUUUUUUUUUUUUUUUUACCAAAUAUUAAAAUAAACCCUGGAUUGAAAUGAUAUAGCUGAUUAUAGCUGUGUUACAGUUGUAGAAGUAUUUUAUAUCUGAUGGUAACAUAUUGGCUUUUUAUUCAAGCAGAUUAUAAACAGGUUGUAUAAGAAACUUCGAUAUUUGUCCAUCACGUUUGAUUAGAGUAUAAUAAAUGUAACGAGAUCUAGAUUCAGUAGCUGUAAUCAUUUUGUACACAUCAACAAGCCGUGGAAUCACAUGCUCAACACGUUUUUUAUGGAUAUCAUGUGAUCACACUUACCCAGAAUCCUUUGCGUUAUUACAUGUAGCAAUGUAUUUCCAAAUGUUUGAGUUUUUGUAAAUAAUUAUAACAUUUUUCGCGUUGUAUAAAAUUUACUUUGUAAAUCACUGCUUACAGUCGAGUGGUAGAGAUGUACUGUUAUAAUUUGUUUGGAGAAAUUCAUUCGCAUCAUUUUUUACCUAAACAAUGCUGUAGGUUCUCUGUUGUCCUCAACAGAUGUGACAGAAUUGCUGGUCAUGUGACUUACGUAUAGUGUGAUUUAGAUCAUGUGACAGAGGAAUUGGUCAUGUGACUAAGUAUCUUUGUGCGGUAACAGAGUAAUGCUGAUUUCUAUGUAGGAGAUGUGAAUUAUGAAUUAUUUAAUGAAUAAAUAAAAGUCUAUUCUUAACA